UACGAAGGGGGCUAGCGUUGCUCGGAAUGACUGGGCGUAAAGGGCGCGUAGGCGGCUUGCACAGUCAGGCGUGAAAUUCCUGGGCUCGAACCUGGGGACUGCGCUUGAGACGUGUGGGCUUGAGUGGGGAAGAGGGUCGUGGAAUUCCCAGUGAUAGAGGUGGAAAUUCGUAGAUAUUGGGAAGAACACCGGUGGCGAAGGCGGCG
rnacentral:rRNA from 1 species